GUGGGGAAUAUUGGACAAUGGGGGAAACCCUGAUCCAGCAAUGCCGCGUGAGUGAAGAAGGCCUUAGGGUUGUAAAGCUCUUUCGCCCGCGAAGAUAAUGACGGUAGCGGGAGAAGAAGCCCCGGCUAACUCCGUGCCAGCAGCCGCGGUAAUACGGAGGGGGCUAGCGUUGUUCGGAAUUACUGGGCGUAAAGCGUACGUAGGCGGAUGCGCAAGUUGGGGGUGAAAUCCCGGGGCUUAACCUCGGAAUUGCCCUCAAAACUGCAAGUCUUGAGACCGAGAGAGGUAAGGGGAAUUCCUAGUGUAGAGGUGAAAUUCGUAGAUAUUAGGAAGAACACCAGUGGCGAAGGCGCCUUACUGGCUCGGUACUGACGCUGAGGUACGAAAGCGUGGGGAGCAAACA
rnacentral:rRNA from 1 species